CCCUUAGAUGUUCUGGGCCGCACGCGCGCUACACUGACGAAUGCAACGAGCUCAUAACCUUGGCCGAAAGGUCUGGGUAAUCUCCAAAUUUCGUCGUGAUGGGGAUAGAUUAUUGCAAUUAUUAAUCUUCAACGAGGAAUGCCUAGUAAGCGCAAGUCAUCAGCUUGCGUUGAUUACGUCCCUGCCCUUUGUACACACCGCCCGUCGCUCCUACCGAUUGAAUGGUCCGGUGAAGCGUUCGGACCGUGGCCUUUGGACGGUUCGCCGUCUGUUGGCUGCGGGAAGUUCGUUAAACCUUAUCAUUUAGAGGAAGGAGAAGUCGUANCA
rnacentral:rRNA from 1 species